GCCCGCCUAGCUCAAUUGGAUAGAGCGUCAGACUCUUAUAUUGCCAUAUGCUUCGUGUAGAUCUGAAGGCUGCGAGUUCGACCCUCGCGGUGGGCU
rnacentral:tRNA from 1 species